rnacentral:rRNA from 1 species
AUUGAACGCUGGCGGCAGGCCUAACACAUGCAAGUCGAGCGGGGUUUUCGGACCUAGCGGCGGACGGGUGAGUAAUGCGUAGGAAGCUGCCCGAUAGAGGGGGAUACCAGUUGGAAACGACUGUUAAUACCGCAUAAUGUCUACGGACCAAAGUGUGGGACCUUCGGGCCACAUGCUAUCGGAUGCGCCUACGUGGGAUUAGCUAGUUGGUGAGGUAAUGGCUCACCAAGGCGACGAUCUCUAGCUGGUUUGAGAGGAUGAUCAGCCACACUGGAACUGAGACACGGUCCAGACUCCUACGGGAGGCAGCAGUGGGGAAUAUUGGACAAUGGGCGCAAGCCUGAUCCAGCCAUGCCGCGUGUGUGAAGAAGGCCUUCGGGUUGUAAAGCACUUUCAGCGAGGAGGAAGGGAUGUAUGUAAAUAGCAUGCAUUUUUGACGUUACUCGCAGAAGAAGCACCGGCUAACUCUGUGCCAGCCGCCGCAGUAACAC